rnacentral:misc_RNA from 1 species
AUGCAUAUGGUCAUGGAGUUGGGUGCUUUUGGAUUAUUUCUAAUUUUUAAAAAAAUAUAUUUUUUCACUCGAUCUUUGUGCAGACUUCAUAUGGCUAGGUAUUAAUUAGAAUAAGAAAACAUCUUGAAGUUAAUUUUUGAAUAUGCAUGUACACAGUGUACAAGGACAUGUAUUUAAAGUGUAUCAAAUACAGACUAAAUCUGUAGAUAGUAUAUAUACUGGGAGUAGAGCUGUUUUCUGUGAUAUGGUGAGUAAAGACUGGGGACCACUAGGUACAUGUACAUGCAGGUUAUGUGAAAGCGAUAUUAUCAUGUUUAUAAUGUUACAUAUUGAUUGUUUGAUACUUAGUUUACAACAUGGAAAGAUUCAUUAAAACAUAGAAU